rnacentral:lncRNA from 1 species
GGGAGGUAGAUACUCUUGAUCCCCCGAACAUACAGAUCCCAAAUCCAUCAUAGAAUGUUUAUGAUGUGGUCAGUUACAAGAAGGAGGGUCGCUUAUAAUAAGGAAGCGUAGGUGUUGUUCAGAUUUAUCUCUUCUCAGGGUACCUGGCUCACACCAGUUCCGUUCUCUCCAAACUCCUGAUCUUCCUUGAUAAAUGCUUUUCCCACAACCACAACCAAAUGCAACAAGAAACAUAUCUAUAGCCGCCAGUAAAUAAGGAUUUUAAUCUCAGUCUCCAGUGGGGUUGUAUAUUAACUCGUGGAUAAUACUAUUGUCUUGUGACCCAGCCCGCUGAUGAGUUAAUGGUUCUUAGAGCUGUGCAUUGUCAACUCAAGUGAGUGAAGGAGUGUAUGUGUGUGUGUGUGUGUGUGUCUAUGUGUGCUGAGGGGUGAGAGGGGUGGAGCAGGCAGCUUUGGAGAGGGAGGGAAGCAGCCUGGUUCCUUUCUUGGCCUUCUCUUUUGGAAAAGGAGCAGUGAUACAGCUUCUCUGCUUGCCUUGGGGAUGCAGGAGUUCUAAAGUCCAUCGCAGACACGUUCAGAUGUCAGGGGGUCAAACGUGCUGGUGCACUUGGGGGGCCAGUGGCACACACCCUCCUAGUGUUCCUUCACCUAAGAAGCAUUCCGCUGUCUCCAGUUGCUGCUCUGUGCCUUCACAUGCGCUCACACAGCAACAGUCAGGUCUGCUUUGUUUUGCCAAAAAGUGAGUUAAAGGUUUACAAAGAAACACGAGCUCUUUAACCCAGAGGCAGCCGCCGCUAAGCUGCCACCCUGUGCCAAGGUCCAGCAUCCUGGGGAGAUGAUCUCUUAAUGACCCUGAGAUAUUCUGAGACCCGAUUUUUGUGUGUUCAUUUGUUUCUUAACCCAGAUGGUCAGGUCCUCCUUAAUCAACCGUGGCAAAAUGUCACUUUCCUUUCUGUUUUCCAUGGGAUGGUAAGUGGCUUCUCUGAUCAUCUCUCUCGGCUCGUGUUUUUCCCAAGGUGACACUUAAAAUUAGAUGGAGGUGCCAUGCAGGAGGGCGAGAUGAGUUGGGUUGUCCCAGCCCAAACCUGGGGAAACUGAGACUGGGCCCGAGCGGCUGACUGAACGGCAGGGGUUCACGUCAACAAAUUCCUUUUCCACCACCCUCCACUCCCCUAUUCCCUAAUAAUAGAGUAGGCACAGUAGUUGGCUCAUUCUGGGGAGGCUGGUCCAUAUUUGAGAUUUAUUUACUUUAUGCAGCCCUGGCCCGGAUGGAUGAUGAAAGCAUUUAAACCAAAACCGAUUCUAGCAAGUAUUUGCCCCUGUUGAUCGUGGGGUGCCGUUGUAGAGCGUGUGUGGAUUUGGCAGGGGGAGUGGUAGGUGAGCUGGCCUCUCUCCUCUUGAAUUUGCCCAACCACUGGUGGAAAGAGAAGAAACUUGAUCAGGACCCUUCUAGUGAUUUUAAUUUCCCGGAGAUGUGUAAUCACCCUGUGGUACUGAGAACUGAAUCAACUCUGGCCUUUCUGACAGACCCUUUGGUGAGCUGCAGCACACCCAGCUUUAUGAAAUUAUUAACCUUUUAUAAGACUGGGAUAGUUAUAAACGUUGAGCGAGGCCAGGCAAUGACUGUUGGAUUCCUCCCUUGGAAAGAUCAGGUAUUUACUGCUUUCCCGAAAUGCACAGCUGUAGCUCCCAUUCGACCCCUAGCCUGCAAACUUCCAUAUGCCUCCAGUGUAGCCCUAAAAAGCAAUAAGCAAAAAAUAAAUAAAUAAAUAAAUAAACUGUAGUGUUUGUAAAAAAAAAAAAAAAAAAAAAAAA